GAUGAACGCUGGCGGCGUGCCUAACACAUGCAAGUCGAGCGAACAGACGAGGAGCUUGCUCGGCUGACGUGAGGGGCGGACGGGUGAGGAACACGUGUAUAACCGGCCUAGGAGACUGGGAUAACGUCGGGAAACCGGAUAUAAUACCGGAUAAGAUAGUGAACCGCAGGGUUCAAUAGAGAAAGACGGUUUUGCUGGGACUAAGUGGGGGUUCCGAGCCGGUUUAGCAAGUUGGUAAGGUAACGGCUUACCAAGGCGACGAUGCGUGGCCGACCUGGGAGGGUGAUCCGCCCCACUGGAACUGAGACACCGUCCAGACUCCUACGGGAGGCAGCAGUAGGGAAUCGUCCGCAAAGGGCGAAAGCCUGACGCAGCCACGCCGCGUGAGUGAUGAAAGUCCUCGGAUCGUAAAACUCUGUUAUUAGGGAAGAACAAAUGUGUAAGUAACUAUGCACUUCUUGACGGUAACUAAUAAGAAAGCCACGGCUAACUACGUG
rnacentral:rRNA from 1 species